AAGCUCGUAGUUGAAACUGUGUCCUGCGGCGUUUGUCUACCGAUUGCGGUACGACAGGCGCGUCUGCGGGGCUUCUCGCCGGUGCGUCUUCCGAUCCUUCCGCGUGCGUCGUGCGCUCUACCGCAAGGUUGUGCGUAAGGCGUCGCGGUUCAAGGGGUCGGGUCGUCGCGGCUUUUUACUUUGAACAAAUUAGAGUGCUCAAAGCGGGCUGUUUUUCGCCUGAAUAUUGUACGCAUGGAAUAAUAGAAUAGGACCUCGGUUCUGUUUUGUUGGCUUUCUGACACCAGAGGUAAUGAUUAAUAGGGACAACUGGGGGCAUUCGUAUUGCGACGUUAGAGGUGAAAUUCUUGGAUCGUCGCAAGACGGACUAAAGCGAAAGCAUUUGCCAAAGGUGUUUUCAUUAAUCAAGAACGAAAGUUAGAGGUUCGAAGGCGAUUAGAUACCGCUGUAGUUCUAACCAUAAAUGAUGCCAGCCAGCGAUCCGCCGAAGUAUCAAAUUAAAAUUACCCGGUGGGCAGCUCCCGGGAAACCAA
rnacentral:rRNA from 1 species